UACGGAGGAUCCGAGCGUUAUCCGGAUUUAUUGGGUUUAAAGGGUGCGCAGGCGGGAGAUUAAGUCGGCGGUGAAAUUUUGCAGCUCAACUGUAAAAGUGCCUUCGAAACUGGUUUCCUUGAGUGUAGAUGAAGUAGGCGGAAUUUGUGGUGUAGCGGUGAAAUGCAUAGAUAUCACGAGGAACUCCGAUUGCUAAGGCAGCUUACUAAGCCAUAACUGACGCUCAAGCACGAAGGCGUGGGGAUCAAACAGGAUUAGAUACCCUGGUA
rnacentral:rRNA from 1 species